CACACUGUGUCUUUGAUGAUGAUUUUGAGCUACUUAAUUAACUAUCCCUGGAGGCACUUUACCUAAGACUUCUUCCUUUUUUAAGGCUGUCGGUCUGGAGAUUUCUAAUGCUUAUAGCUAAAACAACUUUUCUGCAAUAUUGCAACCUGCAAUAUUAGGCUGUUGAAGUUUUCCUCUAUGUCUAGUUUACUAAGGUGAUUUUUUUGCUGUCCAGUUUUCCCAGCACCACUUAUUGAAGAGGCUGUCUUUUCUCCAUUGUAUAUUCUUGCCUCCUUUAUCAAAGAACCAUUGAUUGAAUAUUCUAUCAUUUCCUUGAUUAUCUGCAAUGAACCUCAGCGACAUUUUCAAAUCACGAAAGACUUCCAAUUCAAGAUGGCUGUCAGAAUAAACACAAAUUGAA